UCCGGAGGCGGCGGCCGCCUUACCUUGACAAGUCGUAACGGUAAGCACAAAGAGCUUGCUCUCGUGGUGACGAGUGGCGGACGGGUGAGUAAUGUCUGGGAAACUGCCUGAUGGAGGGGGAUAACUACUGGAAACGGUAGCUAAUACCGCAUAACGUCGCAAGACCAAAGAGGGGGACCUUCGGGCCUCUUGCCAUCAGAUGUGCCCAGAUGGGAUUAGCUAGUAGGUGGGGUAACGGCUCACCUAGGCGACGAUCCCUAGCUGGUCUGAGAGGAUGACCAGCCACACUGGAACUGAGACACGGUCCAGACUCCUACGGGAGGCAGCAGUGGGGAAUAUUGCACAAUGGGCGCAAGCCUGAUGCAGCCAUGCCGCGUGUAUGAAGAAGGCCUUCGGGUUGUAAAGUACUUUCAGCGGGGAGGAAGGUGUUGUGGUUAAUAACCACAGCAAUUGACGUUACCCGCAGAAGAAGCACCGGCUAACUCCGUGCCAGCAGCCGCGGUAAUACGGAGGGUGCAAGCGUUAAUCGGAAUUACUGGGCGUAAAGCGCACGCAGGCGGUCUGUCAAGUCGGAUGUGAAAUCCCCGGGCUCAACCUGGGAACUGCAUUCGAAACUGGCAGGCUGGAGUCUUGUAGAGGGGGGUAGAAUUCCAGGUGUAGCGGUGAAAUGCGUAGAGAUCUGGAGGAAUACCGGUGGCGAAGGCGGCCCCCUGGACAAAGACUGACGCUCAGGUGCGAAAGCGUGAGGAGCAAACAGGAUUAGAUACCCUGGUAGUCCACGCCGUAAACUAUGUCUAUUUGGAGGUUGUGCCCUUGAGGCGUGGCUUCCGGAGCUAACGCGUUAAAUCGACCGCCUGGGGAGUACUGCCGCAAGGUUAAAACUCAAAUGAAUUGACGGGGGCCCGCACAUGCUGUGGAGCAUGUGGUUUAAUUCAAUGCAACGCGAAGAACCUUACCUGGUCUUGACAUCCACAGAACUUUCCAGAGAUGGAUUGGUGCCUUCGGGAACUGUGAGACAGGUGCUGCAUGGCUGUCAUCAACUCGUGUUGUGAAAUGUUGGUUAAAUCCUCCAACAAGCGCACCCUUUUCCUUGGUGCCAGCGGUAGGCCGGGAACUCAAAGAAACUGCCAUUGUAAACUGUACAAAGUG
rnacentral:rRNA from 1 species